rnacentral:rRNA from 1 species
UGAUCCAUCAAUUUGUUUGUGGUAUCUUUGACUACAAAGUUUAUCACGGAUAACGAAAGAUCAGGGUUUGAUUUCGGAGAAAAAGCAUGAGAGUCGGCUUUUACUUCUAAGGGAGGCAGCAGGCGCGUAAAUUAUUCAAUAUCGAUUCGAUGAAAUAGUGACUAGGAAUAUCAGAAUAGGAAAUUAUAUUUGCUGUGUUUGGAAUGUGUACAAUGUAAAAACCUUAACGAGGAACCAUUAGAGGGCAAGUCUGGUGCCAGCAUCCGCGGUAAUUCCAGCUCUAAGAGUGUAUUUGAAAGUUGUUGUGGUUAAAAAGCUCGUAGUUGAAAGUAGGAUAUUAGUUUAGAGUCAGUAAAUUCUGACUAAAAUGAACGAUGUUCAUAGGUUUAGGUGAUAUGUGGACGCAAGGAAGCAUAUUCUGUAUGAGGAAAUUACGUAAGGAAGAUAGUUAUAUAGAUCCGGAGCUUCGGCGAAGGAAAUUUAAAUGAGAUUCGCUUCGAAUAAAUUAGAGUGUUCAAAACAAGCUUUAAGCUUGAAUAUAUUAGCAUGGUACGACGAAAAUGACAGUAAUUACAUAGUGACAGUCUAUUUAGACGGAGAUUUUUAGGACUCUUAAAGGUACGAAUAGAUCAAGAACCUUUAUAGAAUGCAAUUGUUGUGAUGAUUAACAGGGGCAGUUGGAGUAAUUAUUAUUGUAUGGGAAGGGGUGAAAUCCUAUGAUCCAUACAAGAAUAACUAAUGCGAAGGCAUUUUACUAGAAUGUUUUCAUUAAUCAAGAACUAAGGAUAUGGGAGCCAAGAUGAUUAGAUACCGUUGUAGUCAUAUCUGUAAACGUCAUAUCUGUAAACUAUGUUGAUUUAGGAUAAGAAGUUGUUAUACGUAUGACUCUUCUUGCACUGUACGAGAAAUCAAAAUAUCCAAACUCCAGGGGGAUUAUGGACUCAAGUCUGAAACUUAAAAGAAUUGACGGAAGGGCACCACCAGGUGUGGAGCUUGUGGCUUAAUUUGACUCAACACGGGGAAACUUACUAGGUCAGGAAAUUUAAAGGAUUGACAGAUUGAUAGCUCUUUCAUGAUAGAAUUAGUAGUGGUGCAUGGCCGUUUUUAGUUGGUGUUUUGAAAUGUCUGGUUAAUUCUGAUAACGAACGAGACCUCAGUUUAUUAAAUAGCGUUGAGGUGGGAACGAUUUAAGAUGAGUAUACCAAAUGUAUGUUUGGGUCAGAAAGUCUAUGUUUAUACUUAUAAAGCUUCUUAGAAAUACAAUUCAUGUUUAAAUGAAUGGAAGAGAGACAAUAACAGGUCUGUGAUGCCCUUAGAUGUUCUAGGCUGCACGCGUGUUACAAUGAAAUGAACAAUGAGUUAUCGAAUCUUAAGAGAUUUAGGGAAUCUUGCAAACAAUUUCGUGAUGGGGAUUGUGUUUUGCAAUUAUCGCACAUGAACGAGGAAUACCUUGUAUUAGUAAUGUAAUCAACAAACUGAGAAUAAGUCCCUGCCCUUUGUACACACCGCCCGUCGCUGCUACCGACGGAAUUUGGAGAUGAGGACUUAAGACGUAGGAAAGGAUGGUAAUAUGUAAUGUAGCUAUUUAGUGAUAUGUAAAAAUAACAUUUUGAUGAAAUUUGUUCGAAUCUUGUAAUUUGAAGGAAGCAGAAGUCGUAAC